GCAGUCGACGCUUCUUUUUCCCCGGAGCUUGCUCCACCGGAAAAAGAAGAGUGGCGAACGGGUGAGUAACACGUGGGUAACCUGCCCAUCAGAAGGGGAUAACACUUGGAAACAGGUGCUAAUACCGUAUAACAAUCAAAACCGCAUGGUUUUGAUUUGAAAGGCGCUUUCGGGUGUCGCUGAUGGAUGGACCCGCGGUGCAUUAGCUAGUUGGUGAGGUAACGGCUCACCAAGGCCACGAUGCAUAGCCGACCUGAGAGGGUGAUCGGCCACAUUGGGACUGAGACACGGCCCAAACUCCUACGGGAGGCAGCAGUAGGGAAUCUUCGGCAAUGGACGAAAGUCUGACCGAGCAACGCCGCGUGAGUGAAGAAGGUUUUCGGAUCGUAAAACUCUGCUGUUAGAGAAGAACAAGGAUGAGAGUAACUGUUCAUCCCUUGACGGUAUCUAACCAGAAAGCCACGGCUAACUACGUGCCAGCAGCCGCGGUAAUACGUAGGUGGCAAGCGUUGUCCGGAUUUAUUGGGCGUAAAGCGAGCGCAGGCGGUUUCUUAAGUCUGAUGUGAAAGCCCCCGGCUCAACCGGGGAGGGUCAUUGGAAACUGGGAGACUUGAGUGCAGAAGAGGAGAGUGGAAUUCCAUGUGUAGCGGUGAAAUGCGUAGAUAUAUGGAGGAACACCAGUGGCGAAGGCGGCCCUCUGGUCUGUAACUGACGCUGAGGCUCGAAAGCGUGGGGAGCAAACAGGAUUAGAUACCCUGGUAGUCCACGCC
rnacentral:rRNA from 1 species